AAAGGAGACAUAUUAUACCACCAGGUGUGAGUGUGAUUAGCCUUGCAAGCCGUUUCGAAAAUCUGCCCCUUAUGACAUCACUAGUGGGCACCUAGGUGGACACGCCCACUAGUGAUGUCAUAUGGGGCAGAUUUUCGAAACGGCUUGUAAGGCUAAUCACACUCAUACCUGGUGGUAUAAUAUGUCUCCUUUAA